UUACGGCCACACGACCUUGAAACAACGGUUCUCGUACGAUCACUGAUGUUAAGCAACGUCGAGACUGGUCAGUACCUAAAGGGUUAACGACUUGGGAAUAUCAGGUGCUGUAAG